ACCAACAUAGCUCAGCUGGUAAAGCGCAAGACUCUUCAGUCUCAAUGUUUGUGGGUUCAAGCCCCACGUUGGGCA